AUUGAACGCUGGCGGCAGGCCUAACACAUGCAAGUCGAACGAGUGGCGGACGGGUGAGUAAUGUCUGGGAAACUGCCUGAUGGAGGGGGAUAACUACUGGAAACGGUAUCUAAUACCGCAUACCAUCGGAUGUGCCCAGAUGGGAUUAGCUAGUAGGUGGGGUAAAGGCGCACCUAGGCGAAGAUCCCUAGCUGGUCUGAGAGGCUGACCAGCCACACGGGAACUGAGACACGGUCCAGACUCCUACGUGAGGCAGCAGUGGGUAAUAUUUCACAAGGGGCGCAAGCCUGAUGCAGCCAUGCCGCGUGUAUGAAGAAGGCCUUCGGGUUGUAAAGUACUUUCAGCGGGGAGGCGUUACCCACAGAAGAAGCACCGGCUAACUCCGUGCCAGCAGCCGCGGUAAUAC
rnacentral:rRNA from 1 species